ACGAACGCUGGCGGCGUGCCUAAUACAUGCAAGUAGAACGCUGAAGAGAGGAGCUUGCUCUUCUUGGAUGAGUUGCGAACGGGUGAGUAACGCGUAGGUAACCUGCCUUGUAGCGGGGGAUAACUAUUGGAAACGAUAGCUAAUACCGCAUAACAAUGGAUGACACAUGUCAUUUAUUUGAAAGGGGCAAUUGUUCCACUACAAGAUGGACCUGCGUUGUAUUAGCUAGUAGGUGAGGUAAUGGCUCACCUAGGCGACGAUACAUAGCCGACCUGAGAGGGUGAUCGGCCACACUGGGACUGAGACACGGCCCAGACUCCUACGGGAGGCAGCAGUAGGGAAUCUUCGGCAAUGGGGGCAACCCUGACCGAGCAACGCCGCGUGAGUGAAGAAGGUUUUCGGAUCGUAAAGCUCUGUUGUAAGUCAAGAACGGGUGUGAGAGUGGAAAGUUCACACUGUGACGGUAGCUUACCAGAAAGGGACGGCUAACUACGUGCCAGCAGCCGCGGUAAUACGUAGGUCCCGAGCGUUGUCCGGAUUUAUUGGGCGUAAAGCGAGCGCAGGCGGUUUGAUAAGUCUGAAGUUAAAGGCUGUGGCUCAACCAUAGUUCGCUUUGGAAACUGUCAAACUUGAGUGCAGAAGGGGAGAGUGGAAUUCCAUGUGUAGCGGUGAAAUGCGUAGAUAUAUGGAGGAACACCGGUGGCGAAAGCGGCUCUCUGGUCUGUAACUGACGCUGAGGCUCGAAAGCGUGGGGAGCGAACAGGAUUAGAUACCCUGGUAGUCCACGCCGUAAACGAUGAGUGCUAGGUGUUGGAUCCUUUCCGGGAUUCAGUGCCGCAGCUAACGCAUUAAGCACUCCGCCUGGGGAGUACGACCGCAAGGUUGAAACUCAAAGGAAUUGACGGGGGCCCGCACAAGCGGUGGAGCAUGUGGUUUAAUUCGAAGCAACGCGAAGAACCUUACCAGGUCUUGACAUCCCGAUGCUAUUUCUAGAGAUAGAAAGUUACUUCGGUACAUCGGUGACAGGUGGUGCAUGGUUGUCGUCAGCUCGUGUCGUGAGAUGUUGGGUUAAGUCACGCAACGAGCGCAACCCCUAUUGUUAGUUGCCAUCAUUCAGUUGGGCACUCUAGCGAGACUGCCGGUAAUAAACCGGAGGAAGGUGGGGAUGACGUCAAAUCAUCAUGCCCCUUAUGACCUGGGCUACACACGUGCUACAAUGGUUGGUACAACGAGUUGCGAGUCGGUGACGGCGAGCUAAUCUCUUAAAGCCAAUCUCAGUUCGGAUUGUAGGCUGCAACUCGCCUACAUGAAGUCGGAAUCGCUAGUAAUCGCGGAUCAGCACGCCGCGGUGAAUACGUUCCCGGGCCUUGUACACACCGCCCGUCACACCACGAGAGUUUGUAACACCCGAAGUCGGUGAGGUAACCUUUUGGAGCCAGCCGCCUAAGGUGGGACAGAUGAUUGGGGUG
rnacentral:rRNA from 1 species